rnacentral:lncRNA from 1 species
CAAGAAUUAUGUUCCAUAACUAGCUCAAACAUAAAUAACCAGAACUGCAUGAUGCUAUACUAGUCUCGAGAUAUAGAUGCAAAACACAAAUAUGGAUGGAAUAAUGCCAAAGUGACAAAGCAAAAGGACCAUCAACAUGGAAAAAUAUGUACUGCGAAACAAAAAUUUACUUUGCUAUAACAACUACUAUAUGGAUGGAAUCCCAAAUACUUGACCAGCUUCCCCCCAACGGAAUUAUAUAAGCCAAGCUCAAUUCUCAUUCAGAUAGAAAAUAAUAACAUCAGUUUCCCAAUUAUAAAGAAAAUGAAAAUAGAAGAAUUAUUACCUGAACUUUAUAAUUAGAUAUUUCUCCUAGAACCUUCUCUGCUUCUGACAAGGAAGACAGCGGGAACAUCCAUAACCUGCAGACUCAAAAAUUUUC